GCCUAUGGCCAUACCACCCAGAAUGCGCUUGAUCUUGUCUGAUCUCAGAAGCUAAUCAGGGUCAGGCCUGGUUAGUACUUGGAUGGGAAAUCUGUUAGGAAGCAACUAGGCAGGUU
rnacentral:rRNA from 1 species